rnacentral:rRNA from 1 species
GACGAACGCUGGCGGCGUGCCUAAUACAUGCAAGUAGAACGCUGAAGGAGGAGCUUGCUCUUCUGGAUGAGUUGCGAACGGGUGAGUAACGCGUAGGUAACCUGCCUGGUAGCGGGGGAUAACUAUUGGAAACGAUAGCUAAUACCGCAUAACAGUAGAUGUUGCAUGACAUUUUCUUAAAAGGUGCAAUUGCACCACUACCAGAUGGACCUGCGUUGUAUUAGCUAGUUGGUGGGGUAACGGCUCACCAAGGCGACGAUACAUAGCCGACCUGAGAGGGGGGUCGGCCACACUGGGAGUGAGAAACGGCCCAGACUCCUACGGGAGGCAGCAGUAGGGAAUCUUCGGCAAUGGACGGAAGUCUGACCGAGAAACGCCGCGUGAGUGAAGAAGGUUGUCGGAUCGUAAAGCUCUGUUGUAAGAGAAGAACGAGUGUGAGAGUGGAAAGUUCACACUGUGACGGUAUCUUACCAGAAAGGGACGGCUAACUACGUG